rnacentral:rRNA from 1 species
GAUGAACGCUAGCGGCAGGCCUAACACAUGCAAGUCGAGGGGUAGAACACUUCGGUGUUUGAGACCGGCGCACGGGUGCGUAACGCGUAUGCAAUCUACCUUGUACAGGGGAAUAGCCCAGAGAAAUUUGGAUUAAUGCCCCAUAGUAUAUAACCUUCGCAUGUUGGUUAUAUUAAAGUUCCAACGGUACAAGAUGAGCAUGCGUCCCAUUAGUUAGUUGGUAAGGUAACGGCUUACCAAGACGAUGAUGGGUAGGGGUCCUGAGAGGGAGAUCCCCCACACUGGUACUGAGACACGGACCAGACUCCUACGGGAGGCAGCAGUGAGGAAUAUUGGUGAAUGGGCGCAAGCCUGAACCAGCCAUGCCGCGUGCAGGAAGACGGUCCUAUGGAUUGUAAACUGCUUUUAUACAGGAAGAAACCCUCCCACGUGUGGGAGAUUGACGGUACUGUAGGAAUAAGGAUCGGCUAACUCCCUGCCAGCCGCCGCUGUAACAC